UGCAGUCGAGCGGAUGACAGGAGCUUGCUCCUGAAUUCAGCGGCGGACGGGUGAGUAAUGCCUAGGAAUCUGCCUGGUAGUGGGGGACAACGUUUCGAAAGGAACGCUAAUACCGCAUACGUCCUACGGGAGAAAGCAGGGGACCUUCGGGCCUUGCGCUAUCAGAUGAGCCUAGGUCGGAUUAGCUAGUUGGUGAGGUAAUGGCUCACCAAGGCGACGAUCCGUAACUGGUCUGAGAGGAUGAUCAGUCACACUGGAACUGAGACACGGUCCAGACUCCUACGGGAGGCAGCAGUGGGGAAUAUUGGACAAUGGGCGAAAGCCUGAUCCAGCCAUGCCGCGUGUGUGAAGAAGGUCUUCGGAUUGUAAAGCACUUUAAGUUGGGAGGAAGGGCAGUAAAUUAAUACUUUGCUGUUUUGACGUUACCGACAGAAUAAGCACCGGCUAACUNUGUGCCAGCAGCCGCGGUAAUACAGAGGGUGCAAGCGUUAAUCGGAAUUACUGGGCGUAAAGCGCGCGUAGGUGGUUUGUUAAGUUGGAUGUGAAAGCCCCGGGCUCAACCUGGGAACUGCAUUCAAAACUGACAAGCUAGAGUAUGGUNGAGG
rnacentral:rRNA from 1 species